GGUAGCUCAGUGGUAGAGUGCUUGCUUUGCAUGCAUGAGGCCGUGGGUUCAAUUCCUCAGCACCA
rnacentral:tRNA from 1 species